CAGUAGCCGCGGUAAAACGAAGGGGGCUAGCGUUGCUCGGAAUUACUGGGCGUAAAGCGCGCGUAGGCGGCUUUUUAAGUCAGAGGUGAAAGCCCGGGGCUCAACCCCGGAAUUGCCUUUGAAACUGGAAAGCUAGAAUCUUGGAGAGGUCAGUGGAAUUCCGAGUGUAGAGGUGAAAUUCGUAGAUAUUCGGAAGAACACCAGUGGCGAAGGCGACUGACUGGACAAGUAUUGACGCUGAGGUGCGAAAGCGUGGGGAGCAAACAGGAUUAGAUACCCCGGUAGUCCCUGUCUCUUAUAC
rnacentral:rRNA from 1 species